AGGACGAUCAGCCACACUGGGACUGAGACACGGCCCAGACUCCUACGGGAGGCAGCAGUAGGGAAUCUUGCGCAAUGGGCGAAAGCCUGACGCAGCAACGCCGCGUGGGGGAAGAAGGCUCUAGGGUCGUAAACCCCUUUCAGCAGGGACGAAAAUGACGGUACCUGCAGAAGAAGCGCCGGCCAACUACGUGCCAGCAGCCGCGGUAAUACGUAGGGCGCAAGCGUUGUCCGGAUUUAUUGGGCGUAAAGGGCUCGUAGGCGGUUUGGUAAGUCGGGUGUGAAAACUCAGGGCUCAACCCUGAGACGCCAUCUGAUACUGCAGUGACUAGAGUCCGGUAGAGGAGUGUGGAAUUCCUGGUGUAGCGGUGAAAUGCGCAGAUAUCAGGAGGAACACCAGCGGCGAAGGCGGCACUCUGGGCCGGUACUGACGCUGAGGAGCGAAAGCAUGGGGAGCAAACAGGAUUAGAUACCCUGGUAGUCCAUGCCGUAAACGUUGGGCACUAGGUAUGGGAUCAUAUCAACGGAUUCCGUGCCGUAGCUAACGCAUUAAGUGCCCCGCCUGGGGAGUACGG
rnacentral:rRNA from 1 species